CUUCCGACCACCGAAGUUAAGCAACAUUGAACCUGGUCAGUACCUAGAUGGGUGAUCGCUUGGGAAAACCAGCUGCUGUAAG